rnacentral:misc_RNA from 1 species
ACACCCCUCAAGCCUGGCUUGGUAUUGGGCGCCGGGAGCUCUUCCCGCGCCCCGAUUUCGCCGGCUGGACGACUCCGAUCUCUCAAGCGUUGUGCAAAUUUCGCUGGCGAGACGGGCGGCCACGCCGUUAAACCCUUAAUCAAAU